GCACCCGUAGCUCAACGGAUAGAGCAUCUGACUACGGAUCAGAAGGUUAGGGGUUCGAAUCCCUUCGGGUGCACCA
rnacentral:tRNA from 5 species